UGCCGCACUGUCUGGGAAGUGAGAAG
rnacentral:piRNA from 1 species